AACGCUAGCGGCAGGCUUAACACAUGCAAGUCGAGGGGCAGCAUAAUGGAUAGCAAUANCUAUGGUGGCGACCGGCGCACGGGUGCGUAACGCGUAUGCAACCUACCUUUAACAGGGGGAUAACACUGAGAAAUUGGUACUAAUACCCCAUAAUAUCAUAGAAGGCAUCUUUUAUGGUUGAAAAUUCCGAUGGUUAGAGAUGGGCAUGCGUUGUAUUAGCUAGUUGGUGAGGUAACGGCUCACCAAGGCGACGAUACAUAGGGGGACUGAGAGGUUAACCCCCCACACUGGUACUGAGACACGGACCAGACUCCUACGGGAGGCAGCAGUGAGGAAUAUUGGUCAAUGGACGCAAGUCUGAACCAGCCAUGCCGCGUGCAGGAUGACGGCUCUAUGAGUUGUAAACUGCUUUUGUACUAGGGUAAACUCACCUACGUGUAGGUGACUGAAAGUAUAGUACGAAUAAGGAUCGGCUAACUCCGUG
rnacentral:rRNA from 1 species